UGCAGCUCACCUGAGGAUGAACCCUGAUGGACAACAGAAUCUCAAUGUAACGGCCCUUAAAAUAGCCCUGCCCCUAGAGAGCUGUCCUGCAAAUUUCAGUUCCAACCCAGUCAAACACAUCUAAACCAGCUUAACAAGUCUUAAGUGUUUCAACAUCUCUUCUCUCAAGUGAGAUCAACUCCUCUGCCAGAGACCUCAGCAAGUCAUCUGUGAGAGGUCCAUCGCCAGCCUCAUUCAGAAAGCUGUGAUUCAUUCUGAUGGAUAGCUCUACAAGCAGAAGUUACAAGGACAUGGCAAUUGUUCUCUGAAGAAGGUGGGUUUUUCUUUAUCCCUUUGGCAACAUUAUCCCUCCGCUUGAGUUGCCUGCAUUUAGCUCGACUAGAUCUU